CGGCGUUUCAAAAUAAGAGGCAGAAAGUGUAUGUCGUCAUUGGUCACAGCGUGGCUCGUGAUUGGUCACGAGUUUGUGGGAGGAGCUGUUCAGAGAGGAGAGACGGAUAUGAAUCACGUUUGUAGCAUUACCUCUGUUUGCCAGUAACUGGUAGGUCCGGAUGCCUGAAUUUUCUGUCGAACACCGGUGAGAUGCUAAACCAAACUCUGGAGCUGUUUUUGUCGAACACGGGUCAGAUGGUAAAACAAACUUUGGAGCUGUUCUGCGGCGGCGGCGAGAAUUCACAUACUGGCGACGCAAAAUAUCCGGCUGGAUUGCAGCGAACCCCAGCCAAGGUGCGUCAAGUUGGAGAGAGUGACGAGACGAAUUCCGUUUUGACGGCGUUUCAAAAUAAGAGGCAGAAAGUGUAUGUCGUCAUUGGUCACGUGCUUGUGGGAGGAGCUGUUCUGCGGCAUCGGGGAGGUUUACUGGUUCAGCUGCUGCAGCCUGGACACAAACACCAGCUCCCACCUUAGAAAGCAAACAGAGGCCUGGACUACGAAGGGAGUUUAACCCACUCUGAUUUAACUCGGGUUAUCAAGGAACGUCGGGGUUGACAGACGUCGGCUGCCUCGAUCUGCGUUAACUACAGCGACGAUGAAGAUGUCGGUGUCUCCACUUCACGUCCACGAUCAGAGAAUCUUUGAACAAUGAAGGAAUUGUUUAGACCAGGACAGAGGCCUCCAGAAUUCAAACUUCAACCAUUCAAUCACAGAGAGAAGAGACAGACAUGAAGAUGUUUCCAGAAGGUCUCUGAAACGCCACCAGUGCUGUCGCAUAUCUCCUAACGCCAGGGAGUCAAGAGCGCUCGGACAGGCGUUCACACUUUGUCUGCUUCAGAAUCACUUCUGUGUCCAACCGACCCUCCUCCCACUGAAAUCAACACGACUCAACUCUACUGUGACAUUGAGUAUUUUUAACUGUUUAUGAUUGUUUGUUAUGCUUUACUGUAUUAUGACAUUUUUGACUGUUGUUCACUGUUUUGUAUGUCUUUUUAUUGUGUGACAAUAAAUUGUGUGUGUGUGUAUUGUGUUUCCUGUUAGGAAGAGAUAGCAGAGGAAUGAGAGUAAAGGGAUGGGACACCCUUUGGCCCAGCCCUUUACUCAGAUAGGACAGUGUAGAUGAGCAUGGGAAUAACAUGCAAUAAACCCUUAGCUGGGGCACAUGAGCCUAUAUGGGCGCCCCAUUUUUUUUUAUUUUUUUUUUCUGUUUUUUUUCCCAUUGACAUUUUUUUAAUUUUUCCAUUCAAAUUUUUGACAUUUUUCUUUUUUCAAUGUAACACUUAAGAAUAAAAUUUUUCCUCCAAAAUUUCUAUUGUUUUCUAUACAAAAAAUACAUUGAAUAAAAACCUCUAAACCACA